rnacentral:ncRNA from 2 species
UAUUUGUGCUAGGGGUGCCUAUUGGCUGAGAAAUGAAUUAUUUCAUUAACCCUUAUACCUGAUCUGGAUAAUACCAGCGUAGGAAAGCGAUUUUGAGAAGAU